UACAGAGGUCUCAAGCGUUGUUCGGAUUCAUUGGGCGUAAAGGGUGCGUAGGCGGCGCGGUAAGUCGGGUGUGAAAUCUUGGAGCUUAACUCCGAAACUGCAUUCGAUACUGCCGUGCUUGAGGACUGGAGAGGAGACUGGAAUUUACGGUGUAGCGGUGAAAUGCGUAGAUAUCGUAAGGAAGACCAGUGGCGAAGGCGGGGUCUCUGGACAGUUCCU
rnacentral:rRNA from 1 species